AAACCAUGAGAUAAUGACCUGAGCUGAAACCAAGAGUCAGACACUUAACUGACUGAGCCACCCAGGUGCCUGCAUCCAGAAUAAUGUUGAACCAGACAUCUGGGCACCCUGUGUACCAGCUAUGUUGACACAGUUACGCAUCACAGCGGUCUUCCUCGUGGCCUCUUGUUUUAUGAGAGGAGUAUGGGGUAAUUCCCCGGUUCAGGGUGUUCCCACAUAUGUUGCUGAAUUCAGCCCCUAAGAAAUACAGACGUUACUCAGAUUUCUUGGCUUACAAAAUCAAGACUUGUGGCAGGUAUGUGACGGUGCUCUAGGGGCGCGCCUGUCUGAGCUGCAGUAAGGUGGGGCUUUGCCACAUCCUGCCAAGACAGAAAUGCACCCGCGUUCCUGUGCGUGAGUCUGUGGAUGUGGGCCCCCGGUCAUCUCAGCUGCAGAGAAGCCCUUCAUCCAACUGAUGUUAAAGGCAGUUCAGAGAGCACCGGGUGCUGGAGACCCAGAGGAGUGCUUCUGGCCCGGAGGGGCAAUUCUGUCCCCCGGCUUAUUAGACGGAAGCAUCUAGCUCUGGUCUCUCUCUGGUGUUUAUCCCCAGGUCUUUGUUAGAGUAACAAACGGCUUUGAGAGGGAAAAGUCCUAAAUACUUGUUACUGAUGUGAAAGAUACUUGAGAAGGUAUGUGCUUGUGACUUCGUUAUUUGCGGCAAAAUCAGCUUUGAUUCCCAUUAUGAGUCUGGGACUCACAUUAUGCCCACGUGGGCCUAAAAGGUACUUGUGGCUUUUUGUCCUUUAUACAGUUUUUUAAUAAUUUUUUUUAAUGUUUAUUUUUGAGAGAGACAGAGCAUGAGCAGGGCCACCUAAUUGCUGAAGGAGGAAUGGUUCCGUUCGGCAGUCUUCCACGCUUGGAGAACCAGCACUCGGAGAUCACGGCAUCGUAGGCUUGUGCCGCCUCUUCUGGGGCCUGUAUCCCGGCUCUGCGGGUCCCACCAGGUGCCUGGGGCACCCACUGGGUCCUCUCCUUGAAGGGUUGACUCCCUGCUCCACAGGGCACCUCCUUCAUGCUUCUAGGUCUUAACCUUCCCCCGCCUUUGUUUCCCUGCCCUGAGUGGUAGCUACCACUGACCGAGCCUUAGCACCUUCUAGUGUGUUCUAGAAUGUACUUUUUAUUUUCUCCCUCCGUCCACUCACCAUAGAAUAGAAAUCUCUGAGGGCCAGGGAUUCCACACCUCUGGUUUGCUGCAGACGUGAGGUGAGAAGGAAUGAGCGGAUGGUCCUCCAGGGGUGAUUGCAAGACUUUUGGAUGAUCCCAAGAUUUUUGCCCGAGCCCUGGACGGUUGGGGUUGCCUGUGGCUGAGCCGAGGAAGGAGACGGUGGAGCAGGUUUGGAGGGGGAAGGUAGGAGCGUGAGUUCUGGCCAUGCUAGCAUGUUAGAUCAUCUCCAGGUGGAGACGUUGACAGGAAGACGUCCAAGCUCGGGGACACGGGGAUAAACACAGGUGUCGUCAGCCCCUACACGACACUUAAAACCGUGAGAGCAGAGGCCAGCUACCGGAAGAGUGGGGGACGGUGAAGGGGAGAGAACAGAGCCGGGACGGGCCGAUGCCGGGGCGCCAGGGAGAUGAAAACUACCGAGGAGGUUGGAAACAGGAGCCCCGACUGACUGCCGUGAGCGGGAAAACCCGGGAGGACGCCAUGUGCUGGCAUUCCAGAGAAGGACGCGAGGGGACCCACUGUGUCGUGUAGCCGGUAAGUCAUGUAAGAUGAGAACAGAGAAUUAACUGUUGUAUUUGGCACUGUGGGAGCCGUCCUUGACCUCGGCAGGAAUUAACCGUUGCAUUUGGGACUGUAGGGAGUCGUCCUUGACCUCGACAGGAGUGGUUUUGGUUGAGUAGGGGAAACAGAAGGUUGAUGGCAGCGGGUUUCAUAGAAAACGGAUGAACGAAUGAAAGUCCAAAGGAACUCACUUGGUUGUAGGGAUAAUAGCUGAUGGAGAGAAAAAUGGGUUUCUGAUUAAAAAAGAUCUUGGUGCAACUGUAAAUGUAUGAGUUCUGUCAACUCACUGGUUAGUCUCCUGCGUUGCAAGCCAGGCCUUUCAGGUCCUAUCUGAAGAGGCAGUGGCUGGGCUGGGGGAGGCUUCGCGCAAGGCCGAGAGGGGGAGCAGGGUUUACCCCCUUCUCUGCCGCGUCUUCCGCCAGCCGGCCCCUCGGACCAGGCCGGCAGGGAGAUCCCGUUAGACAUACCUCGAUUUCUCCUCUUCCUUCCGUCUGCUUACUGCUGGGCUACCUCGUUUCCCCUCGCGCAGUGCUUGUGUGCCUGUGUCUCAUCUGUGUGCGUGUGAGCUGGAGAAGAGCUGGAUUCCUCCCCGACGUGCAGUGAAGGGCCUCUGCUCGCCCUCACCGGCGGUUCUCCGACGCUCGCUUUAGAGAGAAUCUUAGGCGUGAGCUUUUUUGAACUGGCAUUUUGGGAGGAAGCAGCCACAGCCCUGGCUAUUUUUAAUGCUUUCUACUGGGAUUUGUGGAUGUUUGUGUUCUAGUAACCAACAUAAUAGCUGUUUGGAAUUGCUUUGUUAGCACUGUGAAAGGGGAGUGUGCGCGCGUGUGGUGUAAAAGGUGGGGAGAAGCAGGAAAAGAAAUGUUCAAGUCCUGUCUUCCUGCGUGCCAGUUGCUUUCUUGGGAUGGUCAGAGCUGAAUGACGAGAUGCUGAAUUUAUUUCCUGAGCCGUGACCUGUGUACAUGUAAAAGACUUACAGAAUAUCUCCGUUUGUUUGUUUGACGUUAGUGAUGAUUAUCUUGAGAUACAGAGGCCCUGGUUGCCUUCCCAAGGAAAGGCUUAGGAAGUGUAAAAUGUCCUCAUGGGCUCGCCUCUGCCGUGCUUCAUUCACCGCCUCUGGGGAUUGUUUUCAUUUCUGGCAGGCGUUAGCUCGCUCUGGUGGCAAAUGCUUCAGCAAGAGCUUUCCGUCCAGGGGGUGUUCUUGGCCUCCGGGCUUAGCGUCUCCUGCUGGUGAAGAGACGCACAUCGGGUCAGGGGACCAGGGAUGCAAGGGCAGUGCGGUCUCUACGAAAGUCAGCCAGUUGCCAUUUUGUCCUUCAGCAGGGGGCUGGCUCCUUGCGCCUGCGGGCCCAACUGGCUGCUGCCUCGGUGACGUGAUGUAGAUGGUGGUGACAGAGCGAGAGCUGUGGUGUGAGUGCAAGGCCAACAGCAGUGCUGGUAAAGAGCCCGAGCAUCCUGCCUGCCUCCCCGAUGGGUCCUGUGCCUCCUCCACAGACCCAGGGACCACAGAGAGACUAAGGAUGGCCCAAAGCCCGGAUUCCCUCAGCGUUGGUUCCGCCAUUCUGUGGGGACAGGACCCAGGCCCGGCACAUGCUGCGUAUGGGUAACUACUUGGAAGGAACAGUGAGACACAUGCUAAUGUAGCCAGAGACUGACAUCUAACGUCUAAUCCUUUUUGGUGGUAGGAGCACAUCAUUGAGAAUACGUCGUCUUUGUAUAAUUAACAAGGCAAUUAGAGAAAGGGAGACUUAGCCUCUACGACACAAACUGAGCUCUUCUGUAUCUAGCAAGACCGUGAGGGUAUCAGCUUUAGAUUGACUUAAAAAAAAAAAAAAAAAAAACCCGAGGAGGACAAAGGCACCUGAAUUACAGACUUCCGGAGCCUGUUGAAGCACGGACCGCUUAGAAACAAAAUCUCCGAGAGGCAGCCAAGAUCUUUUCAUUUUGAAAAUGCUUUAAUAAGUGUUGACAACACUGUUUUGCAAAAUGUAAAGGUACUAUACAAAUUCUUAAUACAAAAAGAAUAAAUUAAAAGCAGAUUUCUUUUUAAUUCUGCAACUUUGUCUACAACAUACAUCCUUUUCAUUGAUUACAGUUGAACAGAAUCCAGUAAAAUCAUUUUACAUGCUCUACAGUCAGUUUCAGGAGCAACCUAAUCCUUUCUCCCCAUUAUUAAACUAGAGUCCAUUUUACACAACGUGUAAUAAACUAUUGACAUUAAUGUAUAUGUAAAACUUUACACCUAGUUAACUAAGCAGUAACUGGUCAUCUGAUAGCACCUGGAGGGGGGUUUGCUAUAUUUAGAACUAACACUGAAUGAAAACAAAUCGGAAUUUUAACAGUUUCAACACUCACUGCAUAUAAUAAAACAAAACAAAACAAAAAAAUCCACCUGUCUCACAACAAAGUCUGAUGUAGGUGUUCCCAACAGUCUUCAGGCUAAACAGGCAAUUUCUUACACAUAUCCCAAGAAUCCAGUAGGGGCUUAUAUCAGACCAGGGGCUUUAUAUUCCAUCUUACUUUGUUUUUAAAGAAAUCGGGAUCUGGGAAGAGCUUGCAAGUGCUUGUACAAAACAGCUAUUGUUUCCCACCACACUGGUCAUGAAUCAUGUCGGUCUCAAAGGACUAACAGUAUGUACAUUUUGUAGUAACUGAACGCAGCUCAACAGUAAAACCUGUUUGACUUAAUCUCCGUCUUUACUACCAGACUGUAAUGGUGUUUGUCUGAACUGGAUUUCCCUCCCACCCCGUUCCUCGCUGCCUCCUGAAUCCAAAACCCAAGCGUUGAGGAAGAAUUUUCGUCUCUCAUUCCUCGUAAACCCAACUGGGCUCAAAGCGUGAUCCGAUGGACGUCAGACCAGAUUUGAAACUACGUUUGGUGGCGGCCGUGGGAUGCAAAGAGGACUUCAGCCAGCUUCAGGGACAAGAAACAGAGACCUGGUACCUGCAAACCCCUUGAGUUCUCUUUGUCACCAUCUCUGGGGGCCCUGGUGAGGUACACGGUGGAACACCGCAAGAUUCCCAGCCCAGCGGCACGUCCCUCUUGACUGUCAACUUGUCUCUGACAAACCUAAGGCUUAGGCGACGAAAUGAGAUCCUCCGGUUCCAAAGAAUUGAGUGUGCCCCCUUCCGGCACAACUGCUUUUAUGUCUAAGAAGUAGGUCCCAGAAGCUGUACGUGACUACAAAGACGGCAAGAUGUUCAUAAAGCAAGCUAGAAUCACCAGGGCUGUUGUGUGAAAGGAUUUCAGCCUAAAAUGGAACCGGAAGAAAUGAAACGGAGAAGCUCAUGCCUGUGUCCUCAGGAGAAGGGAACUGAAAACUGGACCGAUUUCCUGGAAGGGCCUGAUUUACCGGAGACUGAGACUUCUCUCCGGCAUAGUGAACAUCUGCCCGGAAUGGCUCCUGUCCUCAAGCCAGUGAACUUACUGUUGGACCACGGACGCUGCCAGGAGAGACCGCCUUCUCCAAAGUACAAGACCACUGUGUAAGGAUAAGACGCGGACAGACGAGCAAGUUUCACAGCAGCUCACUUGCCACCCACGAGACGAUUCCGUGCAACAAGGGACACCAGGUCAUAGGUCAGACAAGUAGGGCAAAGGCUGUCCUCCGUGAAGAGGACGUUUCCCACGAAAGGCACACUGUCAAACAAAACCCAAGUCCGCACCCUAAGUAUUCGGUGCUCUUGGGGAAGACUCUCACAAUGGGAUCCCAGGCAUCUCAAUGCUCUAAGGGUGACCCUCACCCCAAAACUCCAGUGGUUUUAUGCUAAAAAAAAAAGUUACGAUCUCUCAAGCACACAGACCGGCAGUAUUGAAGACAACUUGGAAUUGCAGUGGUCAUUACAAGGAAUGUUCCAGUUAGACAAGUUCCCUCAUUUAAGAAGUGCACUUGAAUGCAAGGGUUCCCAAAUGAAACAGACAGAACGGGUUACCUAUUUCAGUCAGCAUGCAGAAGCGUCCAGAAGGCUUCAAGAUCCCCAAACUGCUUCAUUGAAAGAUUGAUUGCAAAAGGGUAAUGAAAAGUUAAAGACCCAAGAGGUACCUAAAAUGAGACCAUAUGACUGCUGGGACUCCUGGAACUCCCCUUUAUCCUCCUCUAUACCCGAGUACUCAUAGUAUUAAUCCUCUGUCUGAAUGGUCUUCCCACCCGGAAGAGAUUACAUGACCACACUCACACCAAUGUGUCAAAGGAGAGCCCCCAUACAGGCCUCUCACAGGAUUGACGGGAUUCUGAGGGAUUCUCUUGUAACCACUACCAGUCAUUCCUGGAGCAGCUAAGGGGAAACUAAAAUUAAAGGGACCCCUUGUCAAGUUCUGGCAGAUGCACAAGUUACACUCUGUACUUUGAACCCCACUUGCUCCAGAGCUUACAGAUGGGAAUCCUGGAAAAAGAAGGGCAAGAAUCCUUACCUGCGUUUGCUCUCCCAAGUUACUGUGGCCCACUCAAGAGAAGAAGGAAUCAAAGUUGUUCUCAUCAGAAGGGAAAAACUGUGGGAGAGUGGUGUUCUCCAAGGUGGAAAAUGUUGUCUUCACAAGUAUCAGUGAAAAGUUGAAGUCCCCUUGACUCACCCUUUUACCAGAAGCAUGAUGUGAAUGUGAUCCUCUUAUAAAUGGACCCUUGAUUGUUUUACUCUGAUGAUUCUGCAAAACUGAAACGCAUGGAAAGAACCCUACCAAGAACUCUGGACCGCUGACAUUCCUGCCAAAUUAGAAGGUGUUGAACCCGGGAUGCCUAUGUCACAACUGAGGAAGGCUCCAUCUGACUUUGGGUCCGGUACAAAAGCCAGAGACCUCAAACUCAAAUGGACCAGCAAGAGAGGUCGACUGCUUCUUCCCAAGAUGGGGGGUUUCAAUCCAUGUUCGCAGCCAUUAGCCACCUAGCAAAUAAUCCCCCUAAGAACAGAACUUCAGAAAAGGAACAAAGAGAAUGACCAACGGAAAGAACGAACCUGAUGUCAUGACCCGUGAAUACCACACAGACAUUUGGCAAAAGACCACAAGAACACCGGAGCUUUAGAGGGAAGCGGCCCUAAUGCCUUAAGUUGUGAUCCCCUCUCAGGCUGAGAAUCGGAUCAAAAGGAAGGACAUGUUGAAAACAAGAAAAUAGGCCCCAAAUGGAGUCACUCACGCUAAGGUCCACGUCACAGAACAGACUUCACCGAACUUCGGCUCUCUCAGAAGUGGAGUCUUAAACCAGUCGGUCAGGAAUCCGCUGACCAGUUAGGGCGUCUGCCUGACAGACCCCUGCCAUUCCCUAAAGGAAAGUGACUUGGCCAUAUCCAACCGAUUUUUGUCUAGUGGAGCCUCCUUGUUCCCUCUCCCUCCUGGCUAUAAAAGUCUCAUUUUGCCUAGUUCCUCUGAGCUCCUUUCUUCUGCUAGACAAGAGGCUGCUUCAUUCAUAAAUUGGUGAAUAAAGCCAACAGAAUCUUUCA